rnacentral:rRNA from 1 species
AUUGAACGCUGGCGGCAGGCCUAACACAUGCAAGUCGAACGUGUGGCGGGCGGGUGCGUACUGUUUGGUAAACUGCCCGUUGGCGGCGGAUAACUGCUGGAAACGGCAGCUAAUACCGCAUACCAUCGGAUUUGCCCAGGUGGUAUUAGCUAGUGGGUGGGGUAACGGCUCACCUGGGCGACGAUCCAUAGCUGGCCUGAGAGGAUGACCAGCCACACUGGGACUGAGACACGGUCCAGACUCCUACGGGAGGCAGCAGUGGUGAAUAUUGCACAAUGGGCGAAAGCCUGACGCAGCCAUGCCGCGUGUAUGAAGAAGGCCUUCGGGUUGUAAAGUACUUUCAGCGGGGAAGCGUUACUCACACAAGAAGCAACGGCUAACUCCGUGCCAACAGCCGCGGUAAUUC